rnacentral:lncRNA from 10 species
CCCCAAUCUUCUGCGUCACAAAACUUUCCACUCCGGAAACGCAGCCUCCCCGGCUGCGGCGCAGGGCCCCCGGACCCUGCGGAACCUGGGCUGAAGCGAAAAAGCCAGCGGAAGGAACCCGGGAAAAAACAAGAAACCCAUUCCAUCCUCCUUUCCAGGCCUUCGCCCGCCCGAGACCCGCCGUCUCCCGGAGUUCUCGGGGAUAACGGGCUCAGCUGCGAAGUUCUUCCUUGAGCAUCUGAAUUUGGUUGUGGUCAGAUGGUGGAUAAAGCUGGACUUAUCUGAAUCUUCUUUCGUCACAUGUCUGGAGUGUCUGGAGUGGCUGGAAAACAGCUUCCUCACAAGUUGGCCAAGUGGCUGGAAGUCCACCUACAAUGGGCAUGCCGUCCUGGAACAUCUCUCUUCUCUAUCUUGGAUUCGGUUCUAUGUCCCCCUAUGUUAUUGGGGACAGAAUUGUGCCCAGACAAGAAAAUGAUGUUUCCCAGCCUCCCCUGCAGCUGAGUGGGGACAACCAUUGAGAUGCCGUUGCAGGGCUCCGCUUUGGAGCGGGCAUUGGAGGAAUUCUUUGACCACCAAGCAGCCUCCAUACCUCCCUCCUACAUAACAGAGCCACCGAGAGGCUGUUUGCAUUCUGCCUGCUUUCUCUUUUUCCGUUGCAGUAGUUUAUUAAUUAGUGUGCAAAAAAUAAAAAGGAGGUAAUAACCUUAUUUAUGUGCUAGU